rnacentral:rRNA from 1 species
UGGAAGUAAAAAGUCGUAACAAGGUCUCCGUUGGUGAACCAGCGGAGGGAUCAUUACUGAGUUUACGCUCUACAACCCUUUGUGAACAUACCUAUAACUGUUGCUUCGGCGGGUAGGGUCUCCGCGACCCUCCCGGCCUCCCGCCUCCGGGCGGGUCGGCGCCCGCCGGAGGAUAACCAAACUCUGAUUUAACGACGUUUCUUCUGAGUGGUACAAGCAAAUAAUCAAAACUUUUAACAACGGAUCUCUUGGUUCUGGCAUCGAUGAAGAACGCAGCGAAAUGCGAUAAGUAAUGUGAAUUGCAGAAUUCAGUGAAUCAUCGAAUCUUUGAACGCACAUUGCGCCCGCCAGCAUUCUGGCGGGCAUGCCUGUUCGAGCGUCAUUUCAACCCUCAAGCUCUGCUUGGUGUUGGGGCCCUACAGCUGAUGUAGGCCCUCAAAGGUAGUGGCGGACCCUCUCGGAGCCUCCUUUGCGUAGUAACUUUACGUCUCGCACUGGGAUCCGGAGGGACUCUUGCCGUAAAACCCCCAAUUUUCCAAAGGUUGACCUC